rnacentral:ncRNA from 2 species
AGGAAUUCUCAGGGCGGGGUGAAAUUCCCCACCGGCGGUAGUCCUUCAACAGGAAAGCCCGCGAGCGCUUAUUUAUUGAUUUUCAAUUGAUAAGGUCAGCAGAUCUGGUUCAGUCAGGCAAUGCCUUACCACUCCAGAGCCGACGGUUAUAGUCCGGAUGAAAGAGGAUCUCA